rnacentral:rRNA from 1 species
AGACUGAAGAGUUUGAUCCUGGCUCAGAUUGAACGCUGGCGGCAUGCUUUACACAUGCAAGUCGAACGGCAGCACGGGCUUCGGCCUGGUGGCGAGUGGCGAACGGGUGAGUAAUACAUCGGAACGUGCCCCGUAGUGGGGGAUAACCAGCCGAAAGGUUGGCUAAUACCGCAUAUGCUCUGAGGAGGAAAGCGGGGGAUCGAAAGACCUCGCGCUAUGGGAGCGGCCGAUGUCCGAUUAGCUUGUUGGUGGGGUAAAGGCCUACCAAGGCGACGAUCGGUAGCUGGUCUGAGAGGAUGAUCAGCCACACUGGGACUGAGACACGGCCCAGACUCCUACGGGAGGCAGCAGUGGGGAAUUUUGGACAAUGGGGGCAACCCUGAUCCAGCCAUGCCGCGUGAGUGAAGAAGGCCUUCGGGUUGUAAAGCUCUUUCG